rnacentral:rRNA from 1 species
GACGUAGGGCGCGAGCGUUGUCCGGAUUUAUUGGGCGUAAAGAGCUCGUAGGCGGCUUGUCGCGUCGACUGUGAAAAACCCGCGGCUCAACUGCGGGCCUGCAGCCGAUACGGGCAGGCUAGAGUUCGGUAGGGGAGACUGGAAUUCCUGGUGUAGCGGUGAAAUGCGCAGAUAUCAGGAGGAACACCGGUGGCGAAGGCGGGUCUCUGGGGCCG